rnacentral:rRNA from 1 species
CCUACGGGACGCAGCAGUGAGGAAUAUUGGUCAAUGGCCGAGAGGCUGAACCAGCCAAGUCGCGUGAGGGAUGACGGCCCUACGGGUUGUAAACCUCUUUUGUCGGGGAGCAAGACCCGCCACGAGUGGCGGAGCGAGAGUACCCGAAGAAAAAGCAUCGGCUAACUCCGUGCCAGCAGCCGCGGUAAUACGUAGGUGGCAAGCGUUAUCCGGAUUUACUGGGUGUAAAGGGCGUGUAGGCGGGGAAGCAAGUCAGAUGUGAAAACCACGGGCUCAACCUGUGGCCUGCAUUUGCAACUGUUUUU